CCUACGGGAGGCAGCAGUGGGGAAUAUUGCACAAUGGGGGAAACCCUGAUGCAGCAACGCCGCGUGAAGGAAGACGGUUUUCGGAUUGUAAACUUCUGUUCUCAGUGAAGAAUAUUGCCGGUAGCUACGGAGCAAGCCACGCCUAAUUACGUGCAAGCAGCCGCGGAAAUACGUAGGUGGCAAGCGUUGUCCGGAAUUACUGGGGGUAAAGGGAGCGCAGGCGGGAAGCCAAGUCAGCUGUGAAAGCUACGGGAUUAACGUGUAGACUGCAGUUGAAACUGGUUUUCUGGAGUGAAGUAGAGGUUGGCGGAAUUCCGAGUGUAGCGGUGAAAUGCGUAGAUAUUCGGAGGAACACCGGUGGCGAAGGCGGCCAACUGGGCUUUAACUGACGCUGAGGCUCGAAAGUGUGGGGAGCAAACAGGAUUAGAUACCCCGGUAGUC
rnacentral:rRNA from 1 species